rnacentral:rRNA from 1 species
UACGUAGGUGGCAAGCGUUGUCCGGAUUUACUGGGCGUAAAGGGCGUGCAGGCGGUUUGUUAAGUUCAGGGUGAAAGCUCCCGGCUCAACUGGGAGAGGUCCUUGGAUACUGGCAGACUAGAGGAGGGUAGAGGAGAGUGGAAUUCCCGGUGUAGUGGUGAUAUGCGUAGAUAUCGGGAGGAACACCAGUGGCGAAGGCGGCUCUCUGGGCCAUACCUGACGCUGAGACGCGAAAGCGUGGGGAGCGAACCGG